AAAGUCGUAACAAGGUUUCCGUAGGUGAACCUGCGGAAGGAUCAUUAUUGAAUCCAAAGGAUGUUGCUGGUGCUUGAAAAAGUACAUGUGCACUCCGACCUUCAUAUCCACCUGUGCACUCAUUGUAGGCUCUGGAUUGAUUUCCAGAGUCUAUGUUUUCAUACACACGCUACAAAGUUUAUGGAAUGUCUGGGCUUUUCAUUGCCUAAAAAAAUUAAUACAACUUUCAACAACGGAUCUCUUGGUUCUC
rnacentral:misc_RNA from 1 species